AGGCGGGCCCCUGGACGAAGACUGACGCNUCAGGUGCGAAAAGCGUGGGGAGUAAACUUUAAAAGAUACCCUGGUAGUCCACGCCGUNAACGAUGUCGACUUGGAGGUUGUGCCCUUGAGGCGUGGCUUCCGGAGCUAACGCGUUAAGUCGACCGCCUGGGGAGUACGGCCGCAAGGUUAAAACUCAAAUGAAUUGACGGGGGCCCGCACAAGCGGUGGAGCAUGUGGUUUAAUUCGAUGCAACGCGAAGAACCUUACCUGGUCUUGACAUCCACGGAAGUUUUCAGAGAUGAGAAUGUGCCUUCGGGAACCGUGAGACAGGUGCUGCAUGGCUGUCGUCAGCUCGUGUUGUGAAAUGUUGGGUUAAGUCCCGCAACGAGCGCAACCCUUAUCCUUUGUUGCCAGCGGUCCGGCCGGGAACUCAAAGGAGACUGCCAGUGAUAAACUGGAGGAAGGUGGGGAUGACGUCAAGUCAUCAUGGCCCUUACGACCAGGGCUACACACGUGCUACAAUGGCGCAUACAGAGAGAAGCGACCUCGCGAGAGCAAGCGGACCUCAUAAAGUGCGUCGUAGUCCGGAUUGGAGUCUGCAACUCGACUCCAUGAAGUCGGAAUCGCUAGUAAUCGUGGAUCAGAAUGCCACGGUGAAUACGUUCCCGGGCCUUGUACACACCGCCCGUCACACCAUGGGAGUGGGUUGCAAAAGAAGUAGGUAGCUUAACCUUCGGGAGGGCGCUUACCACUUUGUGAUUCAUGACUGGGGUGAAGUCGUAACAAGGUAACCA
rnacentral:rRNA from 1 species